GUCUGUGUCGAUUAGUGGUUAAAUCAUUUCGUUGUGGCCUAUGAUUACGUAAGCUCCGAAAAGCCGCGUGUUCGACUCACGCCGCGGACA